rnacentral:lncRNA from 1 species
AUCUCUCUCUCUCCUCUCUCACUUUUGCUCGUUCUCCUCUCUGUGUUGCCGUCUAUAGCCGCUGUGCCGCGCCUUCUAGCGCCGCCGUCGCCGGCGGUGCCUCGCCGGAGAUCCGCCGGAAUUCUCCGCCGCCUCCCCGGUCGCCGGCUGCCGAGCCGAGCCUCGCCGCCACGGCACAUCGCUGCCCGGGACUGGGAUAGAGCAGCGCGUGGAGGAGGAAGAAGACCUCCUCAACCACUGCCAAGCCGGCCCCACCUCCCUUUCCUCUCUCAAGCCGCUGACAAGCCGGGCCCGCGCCUCCUUUCCUCCAUUGGCCGCUGACAGGUGGGCCCCCUCCCUUUGCUGUUAGUCUAGCGGAAUAUUCCAACGGAAUAUUCUCUUGCCGUCCAAUAAAUGAAAUUCUAGAAAAACCAUUUAUCCUUUGAAAAUUCAUAGUAAAUCAACCAUAACUCCGAUUGACCCCGUUAAGUUCCUAAAUUUUUCUAAAAUUGAGAUCUACACAGUGGUGCUAUUGUUUCUCUGGUUUGAGCUUGUUUUAUUGCCUUUUGUUUAUUAGCUUUGUUUUCGCGUUAAGAGCCCGAGUUCGAGGAAGCUCCGGACGCCGCUUUCGAAUGAGAAGACCCCAACCCUGUGCAAGGCAAACCUCUUUGGUCACUUUGCCUCUAUAUUUGCAAAGAUAUGUUGUUUGAAAAGUGCAUUACUUAGCAUACACGAUUAACAUGUUUAGGCCUCGGAUUGUUUUAACAACCGACGGACCAACCUAGUAGUCGCAUUUAUAUUACAUAGGUUGAUGUUUCCAUACCUUUGAUAGCUCCACAAAUGUUUGCGCUGGUAUCGUUACACGAUUACCGAGGUAGUUUCGCUUAGCCAUGCUUACGUUGUUGCCGUGUGGGAAACUUGGGUUAUUCCAAAUUACCUGAUUAAAAAUCCGGUACGUUGUACCGAGGAGUUGUGAAAUAAAAUGUGUUGUGAAAGUGGUGAUGAUGCGGAGUCAAGCCUUUGUGGUUUGGCCACGUAUUGUCGUUAAGGACCGAUUCCUUUGGGAAAUCCAUCCGAACACGUUACAAUGCGACCACACGAGUAUUUAUGGGAUGCCUCUGGUUGAGUAAAUUGUUUUCACAUGGGAGUUGGUGUGCCAAUGGUUGUGGAAUACCGAGGAUGAGGAAACGAAGUGUUACACAUUUAUUGCCCAUCAUGGGUGUCUUUUUGCCUCUAUUGUGGCGUGGUACCAGUAGGAGUAGGAGGCAUCCUCGGUAUUUCCUGAGUGGAUGACGGCUGUCAUUGCCUGAUACUCGGCUAUGGAUUUUAGCCCAACUAGGUGGUAUGUGAUUUUCAUGGGUUAGCUUUGGAAAGGCCUUAUCACGAACUUCCGGUACCGGCCAGUACCGGUGUAAGUUUCGUGUCGUGUGGGUAAAGCGUGCAACCUCUGCAGAGAUUAAUGAACUGUUCGAACAGCCGUGCCCACGGUCAAGGGCGAGUGUAAGGUGUUUCUCAUAGCGUAGAUUUGUUUGACAAAGGUUUGUGGAAAAGUGGUUACUGAAAAAGGAACGUUACCAGAGUCCGCCUGUGUGGCAGACGGCUAACUUUUGUGGUUAGGAACGGGUCUGUGUGACCUGGGGUGUCGUCCGACACCAAGGUGUUGUUAGGGCCAUGAUGACGUUGAUGUGCUGGGAUAACCAGGAUAUUUGUAUGAACUGUGUUGUUGUGAAAAAGGAACUAAUAGAGAAAACAAUUUAAUUGUUGUUCGUUAAUUGUGACAAGUUGUUGCAAAGCAACUUGUGGAAUGGGUCGAGGCGUGAGCCUCCUCUCGACAACUAAAACUUGACUCACUCACUAGGAAUUUUGUGAAAUAAAUCAUUUUGCCAAAAUGGCAGCCUUCGCAAAUAAAACCGUAGCCUCCUUGUUAAACCGACAUGUCAUUCUUUUCCCUGGCUUGCUAAGUACGUUAAGUACUCACCCUUGCCCCUUAUAAUAAUCUAUAGAGUUUGAAGAUGAAGACGUCGACCCGACCGCCGAGAAGUAUCUCCAGGAGCAAGCCGAGUAUGAAGACUUUUAGAUGUUUCGUGCCUAGCCCCAAGCCUCGCCUGUGAAAUAAGUUAGUUGUCUAGGUUCUUUGCCUAGUGCGUAGUCGCUUAGUUGCUUAGUUCUCCGUGCUAUUCAUUUCUGCGCCGUCGCUUUUGUGUUUUUCUGUAAUGUUGUGUUGUUCAUCUAUGGGCAUGUCCAUGAUAGCAACGUUUAUAAGGACUACUACCCAGUGAUGUAAUAAAGCAGUUUACUUUGAUUCCACAUUUAUUCUGUGAGUAUCAGCUAGUGUAUCCUGGGACUGGUACUAUAUCACAGGUAAUGCAUAACACCCCGGUGUGAGUUAGCUGUGUUUAUAGCUAACAAAUGUCGGGGCGUUACAAUAACGAUCACGUGUCACAUUAUAAGAAACGUUCUUUUGGAGGACGUAUUUUAAAAAAC